rnacentral:rRNA from 1 species
CAGCCGCCGCGGUAAUACCGGCGGCCCGAGUGGCGGCCACUAUUAUUGGGCUUAAAGCGUCCGUAGCCGGGUUGGUUAGUCUCCCGGGAAAUCUGGCCGCUUAACGGUCAGAAUUCCGGGAGAUACUGCCAGCCUAGGGACCGGGAGAGGCCGAGGGUAUUCCCGGAGUAGGGGUGAAAUCCUAUAAUCCCGGGAGGACCACCUGUGGCGAAGGCGCUCGGCUGGAACGGGUCCGACGGUGAGGGACGAAGGCCAGGGGAGCAAACCGGAGUAGAUACCCGGGUAGUCCUGGCUGUAAACGAUGCGGACUUUGUGUCGGACAAGCUAUGAGCUUGUCCGGUGCCGGAGGGAAACCGUUAAGUCCGCCGCCUGGGGAGUACGGCCGCAAGGCUGAAACUUAAAGGAAUUGGCGGG